AAAUGCCAAAACUUCUCAGCACAAUGUGCAAGUUAUAAAAAUGGCUUGAAGUGAAGGAGCAGAGCCCAUUCCAACAACUGGCAUCACCUUCUACCAUACAGGAAUCUCUUGAAAUUUACCCAGACUCAGGAGUCUGUGUGCCGAAAAAUGUGUUGUGGUCAGCUAACCAUGCAAACACCCCAACGACCAUGGCACGGAUGCUUCUAAUUGGAGUGUUUGAUAUAGAUACACUUCUAAAAAGCAAUCUCAGAGGUGGCACUUCCAAAAAAGGCAGCGCUGGGGAAACAAAGGAGGCACUGGACA